rnacentral:rRNA from 1 species
AUUGAUCAAUAUAUCACCCUGCAGCCCAAGACUGGUUGCCCACUGAAGCUAAUCAGGGUUGAGCCUGGUGAGUACCUGGAUGGGAGACCUCCUGGGAAAACUAGUUUGCUGUU